rnacentral:rRNA from 1 species
GAUGAACGCUGGCGGCGUGCCUAAUACAUGCAAGUCGAGCGAACGGACGAGAAGCUUGCUUCUCUGAUGUUAGCGGCGGACGGGUGAGUAACACGUAGAUAACCUACCUAUAAGACUGGGAUAACUUCGGGAAACCGGAGCUAAUACCGGAUGAUAUUUUGAACCGCAUGGUUCAAAAGUGAAAGACGGUCUUGCUGUCACUUAUAGAUGGAUCCGCGCUGCAUUAGCUAGUUGGUAAGGUAACGGCUUACCAAGGCAACGAUGCAUAGCCGACCUGAGAGUGUGAUCGGCCACACUGGAACUGAGACACGGUCCAGACUCCUACGGGAGGCAGCAGUAGGGAAUCUUCCGCAAUGGGCGAAAGCCUGACGGAGCAACGCCGCGUGAGUGAUGAAGGUCUUCGGAUCGUAAAACUCUGUUAUUAGGGAAGAACAUAUGUGUAAGUAACUGUGCACAUCUUGACGGUACCUAAUCAGAAAGCCACGGCUAACUACGUG